UUUGCUGUUCCAGCAAAAAUUUCUUUUUCAUUAUUUUAUAGUAACAGACCUCCGAAACUGGAAUUCGAAAACAGAUGUCGCUGUUUACGUUGAAAAACGAAGUGAAACCGAAAAUAGACGAAGUGAAAAAAGUUAAUGUAAACAAAUAAAAUGAGGUUAAAGUUAAGUGAAUUUAUCAACAAAACACAAUGGAUUAUUCGGGAUUUUUGACUGUCAUGGAAAAAAAUUGAAUCAUCCGGAGCUUUUGAACAUCUGUGGCAUCCACGGAUUCCGGGAAGAGAUACCCGGACAACUCCGAGUCAGCAUAAAAUGGUUGUUUAAUAAGCAGAAUCUUAUGCGGAAUGAUGGAAGCAUUUGUGAAAGAGUGGAAAUUGGUCGGACCAGCUCUACAGAAUGGCCAUAAAAAGAUGAAGUCGCGAAUUUAGAAUAUUUUUAAAUAAAACAUCUUUCCAUACUCCAA